AUUGAACGCUGGCGGCAGGCCUAACACAUGCAAGUCGAACGGUAACAGGAAGCAGCUUGCUGCUUCGCUGACGAGUGGCGGACGGGUGAGUAAUGUCUGGGAAGCUGCCUGAUGGAGGGGGAUAACUACUGGAAACGGUAGCUAAUACCGCAUAAUGUCGCAAGACCAAAGAGGGGGACCUUCGGGCCUCUUGCCAUCGGAUGUGCCCAGCUGGAUUAGCUUGUUGGUGGGGUAACGGCUCACCAAGGCGACGAUCCCUAGCUGGUCUGAGAGGAUGACCAGCCACACUGGAACUGGGACACGGUCCAGACUCCUGCGGGAGGCAGCAGUGGGGAAUAUUGCACAAUGGGCGCAAGCCUGAUGCAGCCAUGCCGCGUGUAUGAAGAAGGCCUUCGGGUUGUAAAGUACUUUCAGCGGGGAGGAAGGGAGUAAAGUUAAUACCUUUGCUCAUUGACGUUACCCGCAGAAGAAGCACCGGCUAACUCCGUG
rnacentral:rRNA from 1 species